GAUGAACGCUGGCGGCGUGCCUAAUACAUGCAAGUCGAGCGAAUGGAUUAAGAGCUUGCUCUUAUGAAGUUAGCGGCGGACGGGUGAGUAACACGUGGGUAACCUGCCCAUAAGACUGGGGUAACUCCGGGAAACAGGGGCUAAUACCGGAUAAUAUUUUGAACUGCAUGGUUCAAAAUUGAAAGGCGGCUUCGGCUGUCACUUAUGGAUGGACCCGCGUCGCAUUAGCUAGUUGGUGAGGUAACGGCUCACCAAGGCAACGAUGCGUAGCCGACCUGAGAGGGUGAUCGGCCACACUGGGACUGAGACACGGCCCAGACUCCUACGGGAGGCAGCAGUAGGGAAUCUUCCGCAAUGGACGAAAGUCUGACGGAGCAACGCCGCGUGAGUGAUGAAGGCUUUCGGGUCGUAAAACUCUGUUGUUAGGGAAGAACAAGUGCUAGUUGAAUAAGCUGGCACCUUGACGGUACCUAACCAGAAAGCCACGGCUAACUACGUGCCAGCCGCCGCCGUAA
rnacentral:rRNA from 1 species